GCCCGCGUGAUGGAAUGGUAGACAUAAGAGACUUAAAAUCUCUGGGCGAAAGCCGUGCCGGUUCGAGUCCGGCCGCGGGUACCA
rnacentral:tRNA from 1 species